rnacentral:misc_RNA from 1 species
UUUCCGUAGGUGAACCUGCGGAAGGAUCAUUCACAAUUAGUGUUCCUACGGCACUUUAACAUCCAUAUUCACCUUGUGUGCAACGUUCUGAGGUCUUUUUACCAUAUCGCCGGCUGCAGAAUGCUUGCUCUACAGCCGAGGAAGGCAAGAUAAGGAGGCUGAUUAUAUCAUAACAAUUGAUCAAUAACAAUUAUGUCGGAAAACCUAUUGCUAAUUAACUUUAAAAAUAAAUAAAAUCUUCAAAAACGGAUAUUUUGGUCAACGCAUCGAUGAAGAACC